rnacentral:rRNA from 1 species
CUACGGGUGGCAGCAGUGGGGAAUAUUGGACAAUGGGGGAAACCCUGAUCCAGCAAUGCCGCGUGUGUGAAGAAGGCCUGCGGGUUGUAAAGCACUUUCGGUUGGGAGGACUGCUUCUAGCACUAAUAUUGUUGGAAGUUGACGUUACCUUCAGAAGAAGCACCGGCUAACUCCGUGCCAGCAGCCGCGGUAAUACGGAGGGUGCAGGCGUUAAUCGGAAUUACUGGGCGUAAAGCGCGCGUAGGCGGCUAGAUCAGUCGGGUGUGAAAGCCCCGGGCUUAACCUGGGGACUGCAUCCGAUACUGUCUAGCUUGAGUACAGGAGAGGAGAGUGGAAUUCCACAUGUAGCGGUGAAAUGCGUAGAUAUGUGGAGGAACACCAAUGGCGAAGGCAGCUCUCUGGCCUGAUACUGACGCUGAGGUGCGAAAGCGUGGGGAGCAAACAGGAUUAGAUACCCGGGUAGUC